AUCAUGGCUCAGAUUGAACGCUGGCGGCAUGCCUUACACAUGCAAGUCGAACGGCAGCGGGCCUUCGGGUGCCGGCGAGUGGCGAACGGGUGAGUAAUGCAUCGGAACGUGCCAUUGGAUGGGGGAUAACGUAGCGAAAGUUGCGCUAAUACCGCAUAUUCUGUGAGCAGGAAAGCAGGGGACCGCAAGGCCUUGCGCUCUUUGAGCGGCCGAUGUCAGAUUAGCUAGUUGGUGAGGUAAAGGCUUACCAAGGCGACGAUCUGUAGCGGGUCUGAGAGGAUGAUCCGCCACACUGGAACUGAGACACGGUCCAGACUCCUACGGGAGGCAGCAGUGGGGAAUUUUGGACAAUGGGGGCAACCCUGAUCCAGCCAUGCCGCGUGAGUGAAGAAGGCCUUCGGGUUGUAAAGCUCUUUCGGCCGGGAAGAAAUCGCAUGGGUGAAUACCCUGUGUGGAUGACGGUACCGGCAUAAGAAGCACCGGCUAACUACGUG
rnacentral:rRNA from 1 species